rnacentral:lncRNA from 1 species
UGAAAAAUAAUUAGCUGACAUAUUCACAAAACCCUUGAGUGAAGAUAGAUUCUGCACGCUAAGGAGGAAAUUAGGCAUAUGUGAUCCUUUUUAUUAAAGAGAUAUAAAAGGGAGCAAGCAGUCUCAUGAUACAUUCCUCCCAUUUCUAAAAAUCCAUGAAACAUGAGUCAAACUUGUCAUCUAUAGAUUUCUUACUCAUGUAUCAUUGUCCCAGAAAGAAUUUGUAAGGAUUGGAAGCAAGAAAAAUUUUUAGAAGCAAAAAGGAAGAGAAAGGAAAAAUUUCUGAACUUGGGUCGACCCGACCCAGAAUAGGGUCGACCCAACGUUGAGUCGACCCAAGAAAAUUCUUGAGUCGACCCAACGUCGGGACCCCACUGUUAAAAGGGAGACCCGUGAGCUAUCUAAG